rnacentral:rRNA from 1 species
UUGGCGAUGCGUCUUAAGCAUGCAAGUCGAGCGGGCUUAUUCGGGCAACUGGAUAAGUUAGCGGCGAACUGGUGAGUAACACGUAGGUAAUCUGCCGUGAAGUGGGGGAUAACCCAUGGAAACAUGGACUAAUACCGCAUAUACUCUUGCUACAUAAGUAGAGUAGAGGAAAGUUUUUUCGCUUCACGAUGAGCCUGCGGCCUAUUAGCCUGUUGGUAGGGUAAUGGCCUACCAAAGCUACGAUAGGUAGCCGACCUGAGAGGGUGACCGGCCACAUUGGGACUGAGAUACGGCCCAGACUCCUACGGGAGGCAGCAGCUGAGAAUCUUCCACAAUGGACGAAAGUCUGAUGGAAAACAUCGCGUGAGGGAUGAAGGCCUUCGGGUUGUAAACCUCAAAUUAUCGAAGAAUGAGUGACAGUAGAUAAUGUAAGCCUCGGCAAGC